UGCCAGCAGCCGCGGUAAUACGGAGGGUCCGAGCGUUAUCCGGAAUCAUUGGGUUUAAAGGGUCCGUAGGUGGGCCUAUAAGUCAGAGGUGAAAGUUUGUGGCUCAACCAUAAAAUUGCCUUUGAUACUGUAGGUCUUGAGUUAUAGUGGAGUUGCCGGAACAUGUGGUGUAGCGGUGAAAUGCAUAGAUAUCACAUAGAACACCGAUCGCGAAGGCAGGUGACUAACUAUAUACUGACACUGAUGGACGAAAGCGUGGGGAGCGAACGGGAUUAGAUA
rnacentral:rRNA from 1 species